rnacentral:rRNA from 1 species
CGGGUGAGUAACGCGUGGGUAACCUGCCUUAUACAGGGGGAUAACAGUUAGAAAUGACUGCUAAUACCGCAUAAGCGCACAGGAUUGCAUGAUCUGGUGUGAAAAACUCCGGUGGUAUAAGAUGGACCCGCGUCUGAUUAGCUUGUUGGUGAGGUAACGGCCCACCAAGGCGACGAUCAGUAGCCGACCUGAGAGGGUGACCGGCCACAUUGGGACUGAGACACGGCCCAAACUCCUACGGGAGGCAGCAUG